rfam:Bacillus anthracis str. 'Ames Ancestor', complete genome.
UUCUUAUCAAGAGCAGGUGGAGGGACGAGCCCGACGAAACCCGGCAACCGAUCUACAUAAUUGUAGACACGGUGCUAAUUCUCGCAGCAUUACGCUGACAGAUAAGGA